rnacentral:hammerhead_ribozyme from 1 species
AGCAGCUGGCGAGUCCCAAAUAGGACGAAACGCGCGUCCUGGAU